rnacentral:lncRNA from 1 species
GCCAGCCCCUCCACAACCACUUGCAGCGUGGAUAGUCCAGUGGUCAGGAUUCAGUGCAGUAAAUUUUGGCCGUUCCCCCUUCCUGGAGCAGAGUGACAAGAACCCAAGACAGGAGAUUCGAAUGACUUUGCUAGAGGUCACUUUGGGGAAAAUGUUUCAAAGGCAACCCUCCCAGCAGUGAAAGCUAACGCUAGUCUCCUGUGCAACAGGUAGGCGUGGGAAUAUGCAGAUGUGUGUGGCAUGCGAAUUCUUGGGAAAUGACAUGUCAAGGAGACCUUGUCACUACAUGGAGUAGAAUGAGGGUACCUGCCCCCAGAGGACUGUCCCUACUUUCUAUCCCCUUAAGCCAGUAGGUCCUCUAGGUCGCCUCCUGAGAGUGUCACCAAGGUGUGCGUGAAAUAAGAGGAUUGUUCCCAUAUUUGUAGAAAAAGGAAAAUGUUCUGGGC